GACGAACGCUGGCGGCGUGCUUAACACAUGCAAGUCGAACGGAAAGGCCCUGCUUUUGUGGGGUGCUCGAGUGGCGAACGGGUGAGUAACACGUGAGUAGCCUGCCCUUGACUUUGGGAUAACUUCAGGAAACUGGGGCUAAUACCGGAUAGGAGCUCCUGCUGCAUGGUGGGGGUUGGAAAGUUUCGGCGGUUGGGGAUGGACUCGCGGCUUAUCAGCUUGUUUGUGGGGUAGUGGCUUACCAAGGCUUUGACGGGUAGCCGGCCUGAGAGGGUGACCGGCCACAUUGGGACUGAGAUACGGCCCAGACUCCUACGGGAGGCAGCAGUGGGGAAUAUUGCACAAUGGGCGGAAGCCUGAUGCAGCAACGCCGCGUGCGGGAUGACGGCCUUCGGGUUGUAAACCGCUUUCGCCUGUGACGAAGCGUGAGUGACGGUAAUGGGUAAAGAAGCACCGGCUAACUACGUG
rnacentral:rRNA from 1 species